UCCCCCCUGGCCGAGGCUUCGCGGCGCCGCUUCCUGCGACGCGCGGGUGCGCUGGGCGUCGGUGCCAGCCUUGCGGGGCGGGC
rnacentral:tRNA from 1 species